GUGGCUAAUACCGCAUAACGUCCCCACAAACCAGAGGGGGACCUUCGGGCCUCUCACUAUCGGAUGAACCCAGAUGGGAUUAGCUAGUAGGCGGGGUAAUGGCCCACCUAGGCGACGAUCCCUAGCUGGUCUGAGAGGAUGACCAGCCACACUGGAACUGAGACACGGUCCAGACUCCUACGGGAGGCAUCAGUGGGGAAUAUUGCACAAUGGGCGCAAGCCUGAUGCAGCCAUGCCGCGUGUAUGAAGAAGGCCUUCGGGUUGUAAAGUACUUUCCGCGGGGAGGAAGGCGAUGGGGUUAAUA
rnacentral:rRNA from 1 species